AUCUAGUCGUAAGAAUGCUUGGCUGAUAAAUAACUCACUUAUUGGUCUUCGGCCCCCUCAGUCACUAUGUACACCUCCGCUCUUGCAAUUGGGUUGUUACGAUUAUAGGUUGGAUGUCUAAUUGUCUAGGUGGUAAUGAUAGUAUCUCGUACCUAAACGGGUGGCUCACUUUUUCUAAGUAAUGGGCAAGAGGACCGAAACAUGCCACUGAAAGACUCUACUGAAACAAAGAUAGGCGGUCAAGAGUGUAGAGGAGGUAGAGUGUGAAAUCGGGGUUGCGGGAGAGCAAUACAAGCAUCAUGCUACUAGGCAAAGUGGUGGAGUGCUGCACCUUAGAUGGAGAGAGUCCAGUAACCAAAAGUAUCACUAGCUUAUGCUUUGACCCGAGUAGCAUGGGACAUUUGGAAUCUCGUGUGAAUCAACAAGGACCACCUUGCAAGGCUAAAUACUCGUGGGUGAGCGACAGUGAACUAGUACCGUGAGGGAAGGGUGAAAGAAACCCCCAUCGAGGAAUAAAAUAGAACAUGAAGCCGUAAGCUCCCAAGCAGUGGGAGGAGACCAGGGCUCUGGCCGAGUGCCUGUUGAAGAAUGAGUAGGCGACUUAUAGGCAGUGGCAUAGUUAAGGGAACCCACCGGAGCCGUAGUGAUAGCGAGUCUUCAUAAGGCAAUUGUCACUACUUAUGGAUCCGAACCUGGGUAAUCUAUCCAUGACCAUGAUGAAGCUUUGGUGAAACUAAGUGGAGGUUCGAACCGACUGAUGUUGAAGAAUUAGCGGAUGAGUUAUGGUUAGCGGUGAAAUGACACUCGAACCCAGAGCUUAUUGGUUCUCCCCGAAAUGCGUUGAGGCAUAGCAAUUGACUGGACAUCUAGAGGUAAAGCACUGUUUCGGUACGGGCCGCCAGACUGGUACCAAAUCGAGGUAAACUCUGAAUACUAAAUAUGACCUCAAAAUAAUAGGGGUCAAGGUCAGCCAGUGGGACAAUAGGGGAUAAGCUUCAUCGUCGAGAGAGAAAUAGCCCAGAUCACCAGCUAAGGCCCCUAAAUGACCGCUCAGUGAUAAAGGAGGUAAGGGUGCAGAGACAGCCAGAAGGUUUGCCUCGAAGCAGCCACCCUUGAAAGAGUGCAUAAUAGCUCACUGAUCAAGUGCUCUUACGCUGAAGAUGAACAGGGCUACGCAAUCUACCAAAGCUGUGGGAUGUAAAAAUGCAUCAUUGGGGGAGCGUUGCGCCUAGAGGGAAGCACCCACGCUAGUAGUGGUAGACGAAGCGGAAGCGAGAAUGUCGACUUGAGUAUGCAAACAUUGGUGAGAAUCCAAUGCCCUAAAAACCUAAGGGUUCCUCCGCAAGGUUUGUCCACGGAGGGUGAGGCAGGGCCUAAGAUCAAGCCAAAAAGUGGACUAAUGGACCAUAGGUGAAUAUUCCUGUACUACUCUUUGUUGGUCCGAGGGACAGAGGAAGCUAGGUUAGCCGAAAGAUGGUUAUCGGUUCAAGGACGCGAGGUGCCCCUGGUUUUUUAGGGUAACCUAUGCCAUACUCCUGGGAAAAGCUCGAACGACCUUCAACGAACGGGUACCUAUACCUGAAACCGACACAGGUGGGUAGGUAGAGAAUACGUAAGGGCGCAGGACAACUCUCUCUAAAGAACUUGGCAAAAUAGCUUCGUAACUUCAGGAGAAGGGGUGCCUCCUUACAAAGGGGGUUGCAGUAACCAGGCCCAAGUGAUUAUUUACCAAAAAUACAGGUCUCCGCAAAGUCAUAAGACCAUGUAUGGGGGCUAACGUGAUACGAACCUAGGACGACCUACUCCUAAACCCGUAUUAUAUUAGUCCAGAUCUUAAUUAAGUUAAAGUUCUAAUGGAAUUGACCUCAACCCCUAACCAACCUGUGGUUAGAAAUCUUGGUAUAAUGUAGAUGCCACAAUAGGGGAUGGAAAACCUAUUGAUACGUCAAACUAAAACAACCAAUUCUCUAAUGGUGUUUUAGGUGUUCUCAAAGAACAAAGAGAUAAUUAAUCUCACAAGUAUUUUCCCAAUCAAAUCAAAGUUUUAUUCUUAUUGAAAAUUAAGCCUUUAAAUAGGCUUUGAAAGAAACAAAAUAAACCCUAAAAACCCUAGGAAAAACCGGCCAUAUAAUGAAGAGUUCUAGAUUGACCGAAUCUUUCCUUUUCAUAAUCUAAUUAAUUAAUUCCCUUAUUUUCAAUUACGAAUUAUUUAAUUUACAAUCAAAAUAAUAAAAUAAAAACUUUCCUAAACUUAUUUGUCCAGCAAAUAAAUAAAUAAAAACCCAAAGUCAAACAUAAAUUAGGUAACGAGUUGACUUUGACAUCUAGGCUGAAUUAUGUCUUCAAUCGAGCUAACUCAUGACUGUCCGAGCUAACUUAUGUCUGUCCGAGCUAACUUAUGACUGUCCGAGCUAACUCAUGACUGUCCGAGCUAACUUAUGUCCAUUCGAGCGAACUUAUGUCCAUUCGACCUAACUUAUGACUGUCCGAGCUAACUUAUGUCUGCCUGAUGUCCGAACUAAGUUAUGUCUGACGUCCGAAGUCCGAGGUUAGAUGUCCGAGGCAUGGGUGUCCGAUAUAAAAUGUUUAGGUAGCGAAAUUCUUUGUCGGGUCAGUUCUAACCCGUACAAAAGGCGGCAUGAUCGGGACACUAUCUUGGAGAGAGGCUCGGUGAAAUAGACAUUUUUUGUGAUGGUAGGGACAGCCAGUACCUGGAUAGAAAGACCUUAUGAAGCUUAACUAUUCCCUGGGGUUGGCUUUGGGCCUUUCCUGUGCAGCUUAGGUGGAGGGUGAAGAAGGCCUCCUUCUGGGGGGGCCAAGCCAUCAGUGAGAUACCACUAUGAAAGAGCUAGAAUUUUAACCUUAUGUCAAAACCUACGGGCCAAAGGACAGUCUCAGGUAAACAGUUUCUAUAGGGCAUAGGCCUCCCAAAAGGUAGCGAAGGCCUGUAAAGGUUUCCGCGGGCCAGAUGGAGAUUGGCCCUCGAGUGCAAAUGCAGAAAGGAGCUUGACUAUAAGACCCACCCAUCGAGCAGGGAUGAAAGUCGACCUUGGUGAUCCGACGUUGCCGAGUGGAAGGGCUGUCGCUCAACGGAUAAAAGUUACUAUAGGGAUAACAGGCUGAUCCUCCCCAAAAGCUCACAUUGACAGGAAGGUUCGGCACCUCGAUGUCAGCUCUUUGCCACCUAGGGCUGUAUUAUGUUCCAAAGGUUGGGUUGUUCGCCCAUUAAAUCGAUACGUGAGCUGGGUUCAGAAUAUCGUGAGACAGUUUGGUCCAUAUUCAGUGUAGGUGUUAGAGCAUUGAGAGAACCUUUCCCUAGUACGAGAGGAUCAAGACGGAUGCACCUCUAGUGUACUAGCAAUCGUCGUACGGUAAACGCUGGGUAGCCAAGUAUGGAGCGGAUAACUGCUGAAAGCAUCUAAGUAGUAAGCCCACCCCAAGAUGAGUGCUCUCCUAAUCCAACUUCCCUAGAACUUUCAGUAGCACAGCUAAGAUAGCGAUGGGUGUUCUGCCCCUAUGGGGGUGAAGCGACAGAAGUUUUGAGAAUUCAAGAGAAGAUCUCAGCAAGACGAGCCAUUUAUCAUUAUGAUAGGCGUUAAGUGGAAGUGCAAUCAUGUAUGCAGUUGAGGCAUCCUAACAGACCGGUAGACUUGAAC
rnacentral:rRNA from 1 species